rnacentral:rRNA from 1 species
GGGAUAGCCUUUCGAAAGAAAGAUUAAUACCCGAUGGCAUAGUUCUUCCGCAUGGUGGAACUAUUAAAGAAUUUCGGUCAUCGAUGGGGAUGCGUUCCAUUAGGUUGUUGGCGGGGUAACGGCCCACCAAGCCUUCGAUGGAUAGGGGUUCUGAGAGGAAGGUCCCCCACAUUGGAACUGAGACACGGUCCAAACUCCUACGGGAGGCAGCAGUGAGGAAUAUUGGUCAAUGGACGAGAGUCUGAACCAGCCAAGUAGCGUGAAGGAUGACUGCCCUAUGGGUUGUAAACUUCUUUUAUACGGGAAUAAAGUGAGGCACGCGUGCCUUUUUGUAUGUACCGUAUGAAUAAGGAUCGGCUAACUCCGUGCCAGCAGCCGCGGUAAUACGGAGGAUCCGAGCGUUAUCCGGAUUUAUUGGGUUUAAAGGGAGCGUAGGCGGACGCUUAAGUCAGUUGUGAAAGUUUGCGGCUCAACCGUAAAAUUGCAGUUGAUACUGGGUGUCUUGAGUACAGUAGAGGCAGGCGGAAUUCGUGGUGUAGCGGUGAAAUGCUUAGAUAUCACGAAGAACUCCGAUUGCGAAGGCAGCCUGCUGGACUGUAACUGACGCUGAUGCUCGAAAGUGUGGGUAUCAAACAGGAUUAGAUACCCUGGUAGUCCACACAGUAAACGAUGAAUACUCGCUGUUUGCGAUAUACAGUAAGCGGCCAAGCGAAAGCGUUAAGUAUUCCACCUGGGGAGUAC